rnacentral:tRNA from 2 species
GCCGCAAUAGCACAAUUGGUAGUGCACCUGAUUUGUAAUCAGGGGGUUGGGGGUUCGAGUCCCUCUUGCGGCACCA